GCAGGAGUGGCGGAAUGGCAGACGCGCAUGCUUCAGGAGCAUGUAUGGAUUUCCAUGUGGGGGUUCAAGUCCCCCCUUCUGCA
rnacentral:tRNA from 1 species